rnacentral:lncRNA from 1 species
GGUGAUAUGGUGUCCAGUUGCUGCUUGAAGUACUCCCUCUAGCCUAGAGAAUAUUUGCUUGCUCAUAUAGAGUGAACCUUCUGUGCUCUUGGCUUCUGACUGGUUAGGAAAUGCCCUCAGGAAGAUGGAGAUGAAAGUUCAGAUACAGAGAAAGGAGGGAAUUGUGAUUCUUGAGCAGGGAUUGUUACCACUCAGAGAGGAGAGCAACCUGGAGCUCAAGCAGGAGAGGUGCUCUUCAGAUGGCUCUCCACAUUGUCUUCCCUAACACACCAGUGAGGCACGAGACCAGGGCAGAAAUUCCAGUGUGGGGAGGGUGUGAGUCAUGAGAUGACACUGACCAUUAGGAAGACACUGCUGCAGAGUCUGAAACCAAACCAGCCUGUUCCUUGUUCUCAAGUCAUCUUGGGUUGGAAGCUGCUGAAAACUUCCUUCUGGAUAAAUAACUGUGACGUCCCCAUCAUGCCCAGAAUUGGAUUUCUUCACUGGGAUUACUGAAACACUGGUCUGCUCCGAGGCUUCUCUCAUAGAGGAAUUGUUCAGCUCCACAACAGGAGUGAGAAAAGUUUAAAUGCUUUGGGGCUCACUCCCAGGCACAAGACUUUAUUAUCUGAGCUUUUGUUUGGAAAUAAAUUGAGUUCUUGUCAUAGAUUUGGCA